AGCUUUGCACAGUGGCAGUGUCAUAGCCAAUGAGAUUUAUCUGAGGCACGAUUAUUGCUAAUUGAAAACUUUUCCCAAUACCCCACCAUGAUGACUUGAAAUAUAGUGAGCAUUGGCAAUUUUCUACAGAGAUUGUUUUUU
ensembl:snRNA U4 U4 spliceosomal RNA